UGUGUGUGUGUGUGUGUGUACAUAUUGGCAGUUUAAUCAAACUGCUGGCUGAAAGAAUGACAUCAUAAUCUCGUCAGCACAACACACACAACAGCCACUGUCGUUUCUGACUCUGUGCCCAAAGUUUUGUUUUCAAGUCCUCCGUGUCUAUGAACUGUAUGUGUGUGUGUGUGACGUCAGUGUGCAGUGCACAAUGUCAUCUUUGCCCACUGGCCUAUUCUGUUUCCUUAGCACUGUGCCCAUUGCACCUUAUGUAAAUAUACAACCAGCCAAUAACAGGCAGUUUUUAGGGUUCAUGACCUUUAUCCUGGUUUUGAUGGCUCUGUUGCAAUGAAAAGAACAAUAUGUCUCUAUUUCGUCAUAAGCACUCCCAGAUGUUUGCUUUUCAACAGGAAUGCCUUAUUCACUUUUUUUUUUCAUUUAAAAAACAGAUCAAACACAAAAACAAUAUCAGUCAGAGAAACAUCAUGUACCUCUACCAGCAUAUCAAAUGACCUCACCAGUAGCCUUGUCUCAGGAUUGAGAGACCGCUUUAGAAGGAUUCAGUGGUUGUUACAUUAUUGCUGCCACCUUUUGGUCAUCUGCAGUUACUACAACAUACAACACUAUGGUUUCAUUUGGAGAGAGAAACCACUAGAGGAGAGGGUGCAGCCUCCUGCAGAUUCCUGUGCCAGCAGAGGAUUUCUGCCCAGACAGCGAGUGUUUCAGCCCAUUUUUCAGGUCCUGGUGGGCCUGUGAGGAGCUCACAUGUAGUGCACUCAGGGAGCUCAGCAGGGCAGAGACCCAGCAAAUUCCAUUGUUCCUCCAUGGACGUGGAAGAGUAUGGGGUGUUAUCUGUGCCAUGAUUCUUAGCAUACCAUUGGACAUUCUGACCACAUAAAAAGAAUGAUUUAUAUUUUGUAGAAAAAUUAUGAACCCACAAAGAUUUGCAUGUUUUCCAAUAUCAACAACAAUAACCUUUCUCACUCAGUUGUCUCAAAUUACCUGCUCUGGGUGCUCAAGUUUGUCUUUACACUUUCUCAAACUGACAGUGUUACAGUGUGCAACAAUUGAAGCCUGUCAGAGAAUUAGAAUAGGUCAUUUUCAGUCUUUGUUCCCCUUCAGUCUAUUUGCUGAUAGGAUUUAAUUUCUAGGGAAAUGUGGAAGCCCUGAGAGAAUGGACCAGUGUGUAGGAUUCAGUGCCAUCUAGCUGUGAGAACACAGAUUGCAACCAACAAAAUACCAGCUCCCUCACCCCUCCCUUUCCAAGCACAUCGGAGAGUCUAUGGUGGCUGUCAGGGGACAAAAUAACUUCAGUUACCAUAUCAACCAGUCUGUCAAGUUUUGGCCCCUCUUGCUCAAGCGUUGCAUCCUGGGUAGCUGGACGUCCACUUCCUCCUCGCUGUCGUCUGACUCAGCGCUGGUAAUAUCAUCGUCCUCCUCCUCUUCCUCGUCGUCGUCAUCCUCCUCUUCUUCUUCCUCCUCCUCCUCCUCCUCCUCACUGGCCUCCUCCUCUGCAGGCUGGGGCUCCUCCAGGUUCUGCGUCUCCCUACCUCCAUUGGAUUGACAGUGAUUGUCAGAGCCGAGUCGUUCCAGGUUGCAUCCGCCUCUUUAGCUGUCUCGGCCAUCUUGACCUCCUGCUGGUGUGUCAGGUGAAUGCGAUAGAUGCCCAGCACCACGACCACCACCAGGGCAGCGAUACACAUCACGAUCACCACUGUGGCAGCACUUGGCACGCCUGGAAACAGAGGAGGAGAGAGGGACAGAGAGCUUGGAAUGGUCUACAACCCUUACACUAUGGUUCUUGACAAAGCUGGCUGCUGCUUUUGGCCUGGGUGUGGUCCAACCAGAACAAGUGCAUACUGCUGCAAUAAGUGGCAUCUGCCCUGGUGACUGUGCUGAUGAUAUGAAGGUCCUGGAACAGAGCUAUGCCGCCUGGCGCUCUGAGGUCGGAAGCUGGCCGGCUCAGUCUCUCCAAUCCUGUGAUGGUGAUCCUGGGCUCACUAGGCUGCAGCACCA